AGUGAACGCUGGCGGCGUGCUUAACACAUGCAAGUCGAACGAGAACGGAUUAUAGCUUGCUAUAAUUGUCAGCUAAGUGGCGCACGGGUGAGUAAUGUAUAGGUAAUAUGCCUCUUACUAAGGGAUAACAAAUGGAAACGUUUGCUAAUACCUUAUACUCCUUAUUAACAGAAGUUAAUAAGGGAAAGAUUUAUUGGUAAGAGAUUAGCCUGUAUUGUAUCAGUUAGUUGGUGGGGUAAUGGCUUACCAAGACUAUGACACAUAACUGGUUUGAGAGGAUGAUCAGUCACACUGGAACUGAGACACGGUCCAGACUCCUACGGGAGGCAGCAGUGGGGAGUAUUGCACAAUGGACGGAAGUCUGAUGCAGCAACGCCGCGUGGAGGAUGACACAUUUCGGUGCGUAAACUCCUUUUAUAUGAGAAGAUAAUGACGGUAUUAUAUGAAUAAGCACCGGCUAACUCCGUGCCAGCAGCCGCAGUAA
rnacentral:rRNA from 1 species